rnacentral:rRNA from 1 species
UACGUAGGGGUCGAGCGUUGUCCGGAAUUACUGGGCGUAAAGCGUGCGCAGGCGGUCUGCUAAGAGAGAUGUGAAAUCCCCGGGCUUAACCUGGGAACUGCGUUUCUAACUGGCAGGCUAGAGUGUGGCAGAGGGGGGUGGAAUUCCACGUGUAGCAGUGAAAUGCGUAGAGAUGUGGAGGAACACCGAUGGCGAAGGCAGCCCCCUGGGCUAACACUGACGCUCAUGCACGAAAGCGUGGGGAGCAAACAGG